UACGGAGGGGCCUAGCGUUGUUCGGAAUUACUGGGCGUAAAGCGCACGUAGGCGGAUUUGUAAGUCAGGGGUGAAAUCCCGAGGCUCAACCUCGGAACUGCCUUUGAUACUGCAAAUCUCGAGUCCGGAAGAGGUGAGUGGAAUUCCUAGUGUAGAGGUGAAAUUCGUAGAUAUUAGGAGGAACACCGGUGGCGAAGGCGGGUCUCUGGGCCGAUACUGACGCUGAGGAGCGAAAGCAUGGGUAGCGAACAGG
rnacentral:rRNA from 1 species